rnacentral:rRNA from 1 species
AUUGAACGCUGGCGGCAGGCCUAACACAUGCAAGUCGAGCGGAUGAAGGGAGCUUGCUCCUGGAUUCAGCGGCGGACGGGUGAGUAAUGCCUAGGAAUCUGCCUGGUAGUGGGGGAUAACGUCCGGAAACGGGCGCUAAUACCGCAUACGUCCUGAGGGAGAAAGUGGGGGAUCUUCGGACCUCACGCUAUCAGAUGAGCCUAGGUCGGAUUAGCUAGUUGGUGGGGUAAAGGCCUACCAAGGCGACGAUCCGUAACUGGUCUGAGAGGAUGAUCAGUCACACGGGAACUGAGACCGGGUCCAGACCCCUAGGGAGGGCAGGAGGGGGGAAUUUGGGAAAAGGGGGGAAAGCCUGAUCCAGCCAUGCCGGGGGUGGGAAGAAGGUCUUCGGAUUGAAAAGCCCUUUAAGUUGGGAGGAAGGGCAGUAAGUUAAAACCUUGCUUUUUUGACGUUACCAACAAAAAAAGCACCGGCUAACUUCGU